AGCAAAACCUCCCGGAGCCGCGGCGGCGGACCCGGCUGGCUCCCGGCUCCCAGAGCAAGAUGAGAAAAAUGACAAUAAGAAACCCUCCCAAGUUCUUACAGCAAAUGUAUUGUGGAGCCAAAAUGCAUACCCAAGCACUCUCAGACCAGUGCUCACACUCUUCCAGCCCUGCCAUCCUUCUUGCAAAGAGUGCGGCAGGAAAUUUUUUCAAACUGUUUUAUAAACCACACGAUAAAUGUAGCCAACUAAUCCUCGGUGGAUGAAGCAGUGCUCAGUUCAUAUGGGAGAAAUUAGCAAACCAUUUCCCCAAAGGACAAAUUCAAGAAAAGAAAAAAAUAAUAGUGCUAAAGGGCACAUGCUUAUGGAGAUUAAUUCAAAAGAAGUGUCUCUUUGAGACAUCUCUCCGCAUUCCUUCAUUUGUUCCACUCCUCUGGGAUUUGCCCAGCCCCCCAGCUUAACCUUUGCUUCCCUGGCUUACUUAGUAGUCUCAAAAGUUGGAAACAUCAUGAAAAGAAGCACAAGUGUCAGAGGCGCCAGCUGGCAGAGGGGAGUUCCAGUCGCGUUGUGCAUCCCCUUGCGAGCUCUUUAUUUCGGUUGUUCCCUGGCACACACACACGUCAGAAGCUCCGUUGGCUGCCUGCUUCUUGAAGGAUGACAAUUCUGCCAUAAUCCAAAUGUCCAAACGCAAUUACCCAGAUCUGGUCUUCAAGGACUUGGAGCAAACGUCAGUGAGUGGAAAAAAUUAUAAGCCAGUGCUUGGGUCAUAGGUUGUUAAGAAAUAAAGUGACAAGAAUGGAAAAGAACAAUCCUCUUUAUGCUGUGACGUUGGGUCUCCAGUAGGCUAAAGGGCUGAGAAACAAGUCUCCGAUCAUAUUCCUAUUGUGUCAUAACCGUGCUCAGAACAGCUCUGUGGUUCAGUGGGGCUUAGAGAAUAAAGUCAAGGCACGUGACUUGGCAUUUGAGGUGUCCCCUGCUCUGGCUACAGCCUUCUAUGCAGUCUUGCCCCUUGAAGGACAGGCAGGGCCAGCACAACCCUUAUGGCCUGCCACACGACACACUACACACCACAUGCAUUCCAAUUGGUCAGUGUUUAUAUCUUGAUAGGUUCUUCAAUCUUUUUAAUAUCACCCCUUAUACACAUAUGUUUCAUAUUCCAUACUUUAAAAAGUGAAGAGAUCCUAUUCAUUUCUUCCAGAAGACUGUACACUUCUUAAAAUUACCAGUUCUUUCUUAUUCCAUUUUAUAUUUACCACAAUGCCUAGCACUUUCUUGGCUCAUAGUAAGUUCUGCACACAUUUGUGGUAUGAAUAAAAGAAUGAAGCCCGCUGGGAAAA